UACGUAGGGGGCAAGCGUUGUCCGGAAUCAUUGGGCGUAAAGCGCGUGUAGGCGGCUUGGUAAGUCUGCUGUGAAAUCCCCGGGCUCAACCUGGGAAUUGCGAUGGAGACUGCAAGGCUAGAAUCUGGCAGAGGGGGGUAGAAUUCCACGUGUAGCAGUGAAAUGCGUAGAGAUGUGGAGGAACACCGAUGGCGAAGGCAGCCCCCUGGGUCAAGAUUGACGCUCAUGCACGAAAGCGUGGGGAGCAAACGAGGAUUAGAGUACCCCUGUGAGCCAGUACC
rnacentral:rRNA from 1 species